UCUUGCGCAGUGGAACCCAGAACGAUAUGUGACCAUUUGGUUACGGCGACACCAUUCUGCCGAGGACACCCAAACCAGAGUGGCCACCGCAAAGCCCAAGGUGCCUGACCCUCUCUGCAAGUUGCUGUCUCCCUUCGUGGGAUAGUUACCCUACAUUGGCUAUUGGUUGAGGCACGGGGCCUGUUCCAGCUGUGUAUGUCAGGGUGGGCAAUUGGAAAUGUGAAUUGGGCCAAGUUGGAGGACAAUGACCCAACACACCUCCCGGCAUUGUAAGGGCUAUUUGACCAAGAAGGAGAGUGAUGGAGUGCUGCAUCAGAUGACCUGGCCUCCACAAUCACCUGACCUCAACCCAAAUGAGAUGGUUUGGGAUGAGUUGGACUGCAGAGGGAAGGAAAAGCAGCCAACAAGUGCUCAGCAUAUGUGGGAACUCCUUCAAGACUGUUGGAAAAGCAUUCCAGGAAAAUGCCACGGGAACUAUCUGAUGUGUGGAGACGUUUCACUGCAGCUAAAAAGCUGUGUACAUUGGCAAAUACUGUUCCAAAUCAUAUGUAAAGAACGCAACAAAGUGCAUAAUGUUCCCUCAGCGCUCACAACGAGCAACCUCUGACAAAAGUCCCUCUACUUCUAUUCGAGGUGAAAACGAUGAAUCAGACACCUUAUCGAUAGCAACAGCUCUUGGAUUUUUUUUUUGACUCAAUGGAGGAACGUAGUCAGAGAAAUGCUGAUGAUUGUCUUGCUCUGGAUGCGUAUGCAACUGGUUCACCUCUGAUGCUCACAGGCAAUGCGUAUUGGAAGAGAUUUCUGAAUGUUCCUCGCCCAGCAUACACCCCUCCAACCAGACAUGCUUUAUCUACUAAUUUGCUGGAUGCAGAGUUCAACAGAGUUCAAGUGAAGGUGAAGCAAAUCACAGAGAAAGCAGACUGUAUUCUAAUGAUCUCUGAUGGUUGAAUGUUCGUGGGAAAGGAAUAAUUACCUACAUCAUAUCCACCCCUCAACCAAUAUUCUACAAGAGCACAGACAAAAGGGACAACAGACACACCGGUCUCUCUGCAGAUGAGCUGAAGGCAGUCAUCAAUGACCUUGGACCACAGAAGGUAUUUGCACUGGUGACAGACAAUGCUGGGAACAUGAAGGCUGCUUGGUCUAAAGUGGAGGAGUCCUACCCUCACAUCACACCCAUUGGCUGUGUGGCUCAUGAAUUGAAUCUGAUCCUCAAGUACAUGAUGGCACUGAAAACAAUGGAUACACUUUACAAGAGAGCCAAGGAAACUGUUAAGUCAUCAAGUUAUAGCAGCAAUCUACCUCACCAAGCAAAGUGAGAAGAAUAAGAGCACCACAUUCAAGCUGCCCAGCAUCACCCAUUGGGGUGGUGUUGUCAUAAUGUUUGACAGUCUCCUGGAGGGGAAGGAGUUUCUCCAAGAAAUGGCCAUAUCACAGUCUGCUGAUAUGGACAGCCCAAAUCAAGAGAAUCCUCCUGGAUGAUGUAUUUUGGGAGAGAGUGAUAAGCAGCCUGAAACCUAUAGCAGUAGCCAUUGCACGGAUUGAGGGAGACAAUGCCAUCCUGUCUGAUGUUCAGACUCUGCUUGUAGAUGUAAGAGAAGAAAUCCAUACUGCCCUGCCCACUUCACUGUUGCUCCAAGCAGAGGAAACUGCAGUUCUGAAAUACAUCAAAAAGCGUGAAGACUUCUGCCUGAAGCCCAUACACGCCACAGAGUACAUGUUGGACCCCAAGUAUGCUGGCAAGGGCAUCCUGUCUGGUGCAGAGAUCAACAAGGCCUAUGGUGUCAUCACUACUGUGUCUUGCCACCUUGGUAUGGAUGAGGGCAAGGUUCUUGGCAGUCUGGCAAAAUACACUUCCAAGCAAGGGCUUUGGGAUAGAGAUGCAACAUGAAAGUCAUGCCAACAUAUCUCAUCAGCCACCUGGUGGAAGGGACUUUGUGGAUCUGAGGCUCUUUCCCCUGUUGCCUCCAUCAUCCUCCAAAUCCCACCAACAUCAGCCACCUCAGAGCGCAACUGGUCCUUGUUUGGGAACACACACACCAAAGCACGCAACAGACUGACCAAUACAAGGGUUGAAAGAUUGGUGGCCAUCCGGGCAAAUUGUUGGAUUUUUGAGCCUGACAACGAGCCAUGCUCAACAAGGUUGGGAAGUGACAGUGAAGAUGAGGCCUCAGAGUCUGAUGUUCAAGAGCUGAACAUUGAGGAGGUCCACAGAGAAGUCAUGGAAGCCUUAGAGGAAGACAACCAAAGCUUUCAUUUCUAGACUAUCCUUUUACAGAUUUUUGGGGAGAUGUGAUAGAUCAUUGGGGAUCAUUCAAUAUUCCCUUUCUUUUGUUGAUCAGUGAAAUCAUCCCAUGUGAAGAGUCAACUCAUUUAAUUAAAGUUCAAUUCAUAACUAAAUUAUUAUUAUUUUUUCUGUUGGAAGGAUUUAAUCAUUUGCAAUUAAGUCUACUACGGUAAAAGGUUUAUGUUUCUGUCUCCAUAUGGUAUGGUAAAUAUAUCCAAUGCAAAAAACAUGUCACGCCCUGAUCUGUUUCACCUGUCCUUGUGCUUAUCUCCACCCCCCUCCAGGUGUUGUCUAUUUCCCCCAUUAUCCCCUAUGUAUUUAUACCUGUGUUGUCUGUUUGUCUGUUGCCAGUUUGUCUUGUUUGUUCAAGCCUACCAGUGGUUUGUCUCAGCGCUUGGUUUGCCCUAGUCUCUCGUCCUCCUGGUUCUUGACCUUUGCCUGUCUUGACCCCGUACCCACCCGCCUGACCACUGCCUUCUGUCCUGUACCGUUGCUCCACCUCUGGAUUAUCGACCUCUACCUGACCUGAGCCUGUCUGCCGGCCGGCCGGCCGGCCUGUACCUUGGCCUCUGCUCUGGAUUAUCGACCUCUACCUGACCUGAGCCUGUCUGCCGGCCGGCCGUCCUCUACCUUGGCCUCUGCUCUGGAUUAUUGACGCCUGCCUGGACCUGUCGUUUGACUGCACUUGUGGUUACAAUCAACAUGGUUACUUCACACUGUCUGCACUUGGGUCUUACCAUGAUUUCUGAUAAAACAUCUAAAUGGUAUUAAUAUUAAUUUGCAUAUAUUCACGUUAAUUCCCACGGAAAGUUUCCACCUUUGAAUAUUCCCCAAAACGUGCAACCCUAGGUACACUGAACAAUGUAGCUUUCUGAUAUCAGUCGCAAGAGCUUCAGGCUUAAAAUAGCAUAUUCUGCUCAGAUAAAUAUAGAUACGCAAUUAAGUCAGGAGAAAGAAAGAGAACCCUCUGUGUGUGUCUGUGUGUGUGUGAGAGAGUAAAGCUAUUUUAUGCACUUAUAUAAACCAUGCUCCAAUUUCAGAUGGCUGAUGGAUGGGUUGUGACCUCAGAGAGAAAUACAGUAUCUAGCUUCUGGUAGCUUGGAGGCUCAGUGAGUUGGCAGUAUUUAUAUUAUCAACCAUUAUACAAGUCAGUAUCCGAGGUCCAUGUCUGGGGACAGCCACUAGGGGGCAACAGUGAGCGCUGUUACCUUUUUUAAUUUAUUUCACCUUUAUUUCACCUUUAUUUAACCAGGUAGGCUAGUUGAGAACAAGUUCUCAUUUACAACUGCGACCUGGCCAAGAAAAAAGGAAAGCAGUUCGACACAUACAACAACACAGAGUUACACGUGGAAUAAACAAAACAUACAGUCAAUAAUACAGUAGAACAAAAGAAAACAAAAAGUCUAUAUACAGUGAGUGCAAAUGAGGUAAGUUAAGGAAAUAAAUAGGCCAUGGUGGCGAAGUAAUUACAAUAUAGCAAUUAAACACCGGAAUGGUAGAUGUGCAGAAGGUGAAUGUUCAGGUAUAGAUACUGGGGUGCAAAGGAGCAAAAUAAAUAAAUACCAGUAUGGGGAUGAGGUAGGUAGAUAGAUGGGAUGUUUACAGAUGGGCUAUGUACAGGUGCAGUGAUUUGUAAGCUGCUCUGACAGCUGGUGCUUAAAGCUAGUGAGGGAGAUGUGAGUCUCCAACUUCAGAGAUUUUUGCAAUUCGUUCCAGUCAUGGGCAGCAGAGAACUGGAAGGAAAGACAACCAAAGGAGGAAUUGGCUUUGGGGGUGACCAGUGAGAUAUACCUGCUGGAGCGCGUGGCUACGAGUGGGUGCUGCUAUGGUGACCAGUGAGCUGAGAUAAGGCGGGGCUUUACCUAGCAGAGACUUGUAGAUAACCUGUAGCCAGUGGAUUUGGCGACGAGUAUGAAGCGAGGGCCAACCAACGAGAGCGUACAGGUCGUAAUGGUGGGUAGUGUGUGGGGCUUUGGUGACAAAACGGAUGGCACUGUGAUAGACUGCAUCCAGUUUGUUGAGUAGAGUGUUGGAGGCUAUUUUAUAGAUGACAUCACCGAAGUCGAGGAUCGUUAGGGUGGUCAGUUUUACGAGGGUAUUUUUGGCAGCAUGAGUGAAGGAUGCUUUGUUGCGAUAUAGGAAGCCGAUUCUAGAUGUAAUUUUGGAUUGGAGAUGCUUAAUGUGAGUCUGGAAGGAGAGUUUACAGUCUAAUCAGACACCCAGGUAUUUGUAGUUGUCCACGUAAGUCAGAGCCGUCCAGAGUAGUGAUGCUGGACGGGCGAGCAGGUGCGGGCAGUGAUCGAUCAAAUAGCAUGCAUUUAGUUUUACAAGAGCAGUUGGAGGCCACGGAAGGAGAGUUGUAUGGCAUUGAAGCUCGUCUGGAGGUUAGUUAACACAGUGUCCAAGGAGGGGCCAGAAGUAUACAGAAUGAUGUCGUCUGCGUAGAGGUGGAUCAGAGAAUCACCAGCAGCAAGAGCAACAUCAUUGAUGUAUACAGAAAGAGAAUUGAACCCUGUGGCACACCCAUAGAGACUGUCAGAGGUCCGGACAACAGUCCCUCAGAUUUGACACACUGAACUCUUUCAGAGAAGUAGUUGGUAAACCAGGCGAGGCAAUCAUUUGAGAAACCAAGGCUGUCGAGUCUGCCAAUAAGAAUGUUGUGAUUGACAGAGUCGAAAGCCUUGGCCAGAUCGAUGAAUACAGCUGCACAGUAAUGUCUCUUAUCGAUGGCGGUUAUGAUGUCGUUUAGAACCAUGAGCGUGGCUGAGGUGCACCCAUGACUAGCUCUGAAACCAGAUUGCAUAGCGGAGAAGGUAUGGUGGGAUUCGAAAUGGUCAGUAAUCUGUUUGGCUUUCGAAGACCUUAGAAAGACAGGGUAGGACAGAUAUAGGUCUGUAGCAGUUUGGGUCUAGAAUGUCACCCGCUUUGAAGAGGGGGAUGACCACGGCAGCUUCCCAAUCUUUGGGAAUCUCAGACGAUACGAAAGGGAGGUUGAACAGGCUAGUAAUAGGGGUUGCAACCAUUUCGGCAGAUCAUUUUAGAAAGAGAGGGUCCAGAUUGUCUAGCCCCGCUGAUUUGUAGGGGUCCAGAUUUUGCAGCUCUUUCAGAACAUCAGCUAUCUGGAUUUGGGUAAAGGAGAAAUGGUGGGGGUUUAGGCGGGUUGCUGAGGGGGUGCAGAGCUGUUGGCUGGGAUAGGGGUAGCCAAGUGGAAAGCAUGGCCAGCCAUAGAGAAAUGCUUAUUGAAAUUCUCAAUUAUAGUGGAUUUAUCGGUGGUGACAGUGUUUCCUAGCCUCAGAGCAGUGGGCAGCUGGGAUGAGGUGCUCUUAUUCUCCAUGGACUUUACAGUGUCCCAGAACUUUUUUGAGUUAGUACUACAGGAUGCAAAUUUCUGUUUGAAAAAGCUUGCUUUAGCUUUUCUAACUGCCUGUGUAUAUUUGUUCCUAACUUCCUUGAAAAGUUGCAUAUCACGGGGGCUAUUCGAUGCUAAUGCAGAACGCCACAGGAUGUUUUUGUGCUGGUCAAGAGCAGACAGGUCUGGAGUGAACCAAGGACUAUAUCUAUUCCUGGUUCUCAUUUUUUUGAGAGGGGCAUGCUUAUUUAAGAUGGUGAGGAAGGCACUUUUAAAGAAUAGCCAGGCAUCAUCUACUGACGGGAUGAGGUCAAUGUUAUUCCAGGAUACCACGGCCAGGUCGAUUAGAAAGGCUUGCUCGCAGAAAUGUUUCAGGGAGCGUUUGACAGUGAUUAGGGGUGAUCGUUUGGUCGCAGACCCAUUAUUGAUGCAGGCAAUGAGGCAGUGAUCACUGAGAUCUUGAUUGAAAACAGCAGAGGUGUAUUUGGAGGGCGAAUUAGUUAGGAUGACAUCUAUGAGGGUGCCCGUGUUUACUGAUUUGGGGUUGUACCUGGUAGGUUCAUUGAUAAUUUGUGUGAGGUUGAGGGUAUCAAGCUUAGUUUGUAGGAUGGCCGGGGUGUUAAGCAUGUCCCAGUUUAGGUCACCUAGUAGCACGAGCUCAGAAGAUAGAUGGGGGGCAAUCAAUUCACACAUGGUAUCAAGGGCACAGCUGUUGGCAGAGGGAGGUCUAUAGCAAGCGGCAACAGUGAGAGACUUGUUUCUGGAAAGGUGAAUUUUUAGAAGUAGAAGCUCAAAUUGUUUGGGUACAGACUUAGAUAGCCUGCAGAGUUCUGUAUUACUAUAUUUGCAGUAGAUUGCAACACCGCCCCCUUUGGCAGUUCUAUCUUGGCGGAAAACGUUAUUGUUAGGAAUGGAAAUUUCAAGGUUUUUGGUGGUUUUCCUACGCCAGGAUUCAGACACGGCUAAGACAUCCAGGUUGGCAGAGUGUGCUAAAGCAGUGAGUAAAACAAAUGUAGGGAGUAGGCUUCUAAUGUUAACAUGCAUGAAACCAAGGCUUUUACAUUUACAGAAGUCAACAAAUGAGAGCGCCUGUGGGGUGGGAGUGGAGCUAGGCACUGCAGGACCUGGAUUAACCUCCACAUCACCAGAGGAACAGAGGAGAAGUAGGAUAAGGGUACGGCUAAAGACUAUACGAACUGGCCGUCUAGCACGUUCGGAACAGAGAGUUAAAGGAGCAGGUUUCUGGGCACGAUAGCAUAGAUUCAAGGCAUAGUGUACAGACAAAGGUAAGGUAGGAUGUGAGUACAUUGUAGGUAAACCUAGGCAUUGAGUAAUGAAGAGAGAGAUAUAGUCUCUAGAGAUGUUUAAACCAGGUGAUGUCAUCGCAUAUGUAGGAGGUGGAACAACAUGGUUGGUUAAGGCAUAUUGAGCAGGGUUAGAGGCUCUACAGUGAAAUAAGACAUUAAUCACUAACCAGGACAGUAAUGGACAAGGCAUAUUGAUAUUAGAGAGAGGCAUGCGUAGCCAAGUGAACAUAUGGGUCCAGUGAGUGGUUGGGCUGGCUGGGGACACAGCGAUUCAGACAGUUAGCAGGCCGAUGCUAACAAGCUAACAUUUAGUAGGCCGGGGUUAACAAGCUAGCAGCUAGUAGACUGGGGCAAGCUAGCAGUUAGCAGGCCGGGUUAGCAAGCAAGCAGUUAGCAUUGGCUAGCAGUUACAGACCGGGCAGGUAAGCUAGCAGUUAGCAGGCCGGGCCCGGCAGCUAGCAGUUAGCAGGCCGGGUUAGCAAGCAGUUAGCAGGGGCUAACAGUUAGCAGACCGGGUUAGCAAGCAAGCAGUUAGCCAGGGCUAGCAGUUAGCAGACCGGGCAGGCGAGCUAGCAGUUAGCCGACCGGGUUAGCAAGCAAGCAGAUAGCAGGGGCUAGAAAGUUAGCCUUUGGGGGACGUCGCGAUGGUGGUAAGUCUGUUUUGCCUCUUCGUGCGGUGACGUCGAUAGACCAGUCGUGGAAUUUGUAGGGUUCCAAGUAGCUCUAGGUAGCUAGCAGGCCUAGCUGGUUAGCAUAAUGGGCCUUCAGCGGGGGUCGCGCCUGAGGGGCCUGUUGGGAGUCCUCGGGCAGAUUAUUUCGGUAUUCCAGUCGUAGGGGAUCUGCGGGGUUCCAUGCCCCAUACCGGCUGUAGAAGGGGUCCGGAUAUUGUAGCCAAGGAGUAUACUUCGGUGGUAGCACAGGAGCCCUGGCCGGGCUAGCUUCAAGCUAAUUGGUGCUUGCUCUGGGAUGAAAACGCUAUCCAGGAGUAGUCAUCCGGGAUUGCGGUUAGCUAGUUGUGAAGAUCCAGAUGAAAAUGUUCAGUUUGCGGUAGGAAUCCGGGGAUAAAAAUAACAGGUCCGUUAUGCUCUAGUUAGAGUCACGUUGUUCGAACUGACGAGAGCUUUCCGAGCUGAAGGUUAGCUGAUGACCGCUGGUAAUGGUUUGCUGACUGAUAGCUGGUAGUUAGCUGGCUAGCUUCAGUUGAGGGAUUCCAGAUCCGAAGUAAAUAUAAAUACUUUAGGAAAAAAAGCAGAUCCACGCCACAUUGGGUGAGGCGGGUUGCAGGAGAGUAUUUAGAUGUUGAGGUUUAGCAAAAUAUUUUAAAGGAUAUGCGACGAAAAAGUUAAACGAUAUAUACAAGGGACAAUACAGGACAAAGACGUCUGACUGCUACGCCAUCUUGGAUACUAACCAAGAUACUAACCUACCGUCAAGUAGGUUUCGAUUUUGCUAGGACUUAGUGGAUAGAGAUCAAGUGUCAGCAUCUGCCUCUGAUUCCAAAGUUUGUAAGUUCAAAUCCACCAAUUAUAAAUUUGUUUUUGACACUGGUCAAAAACCAACAUCAAAUUUCAAAGUUGUUCCAAAAGUCACAUUUCAAAGAGUUUAAGGUUAAAAACAAAAAUAUUUAAACUCUCUAUCGCUGCAUUAUGCCUAACUUUAAGAAUUUAGAUUUAAAGCCUGAACUUAACCCUAACCUUAAAAAUGUGGAGUUAAAACUUAACCUUAAACACUUUGAAGUUAGACUUUUGGAGCAACUUCUAAAUGUGACGUUUGAGAACAUGAAUAAAUGUCUAAUUCUGAGCAAGCAGUUCCAGAAACACAGCUCUCACUGGCAACUGUCUUGUGCUACGAUGUCUGUCUGUGUUUGUGUUCCCUAUCUCUGUUAGAGUGCGUCAGUUUCUUGUUUUGUUGGUGGCAUUCAUAAUAAAAAUAAAUGUACGCUCACCA